rnacentral:lncRNA from 1 species
UCAGUCCAUGUGUUAGUAGUGUAUGUGUGUGGUGUGUGUGUUUGACAUGUGUAGUGUAGUGUAUGUGUGUGGUGUGUGUGUGCAGUGUGUUUGUGAAUUGUAUGUAUGCGGUGUGUGUGUGCGGUGCAGUGUGUGGGGGGGUGUUUUUGUAGAAUACGUGUGUGCAGUGCAGGUUUUUGUAGUGUACGUGUGUAGUGUUUGUGUUUGGUGUGUGUGUGUGGUGUGUUUGUGUUUGCUGGAUGUGUGUUGUAUAUGUGUGUGGUGUGUGUGUGCAGUGUGUGUGUGCGGUGAGUGUAGUGUAGUGUAUUUGUGUGUAGUGUCGCGGUGUAUGAAUUUGUAGUGUAUGUGUGUGUUGUUUGGUUUGGGAAGUUUGUGUUUACUGUAUGUGUGUGGUGUGUGUGUAGUGUAUGUUUGUUGCGUAUGUUUGUGGUGUAUGUGUGCGGUGUGUGUGUGUGAGGUAAGCGUGUUUGUAUUGUGUCUGUGCAGUCGAUGUGUUAGUAAUUUAUGUGUGUGGUGUGUGUGUUUGAAGUGUGUAGUAUAGUGUAUGUGUGUGGUGUGUGUGUGCAGUGUGCUUGUGUAUUGUAUGUAUGCGGUGUGUGUGUGCAGUGUAUGUGUUUGUAGUGUAUGUUUGUUGUGUAUGUGUACAGUGUGUUGUGUGUAUUUGGUGAGUUUGUGUUUCCUGUUUCUGUGGUGUAUUUUGUAGUGUAUGUUUGUUUUGUAUGUGUGCAGUGUGCAGAGUGUUUGUGUGCGUUUUGUGCGUGUUUUUAUUGUAUGUGUGCAGUCCAUGUGAUGGUAUUGUUUGUGUGUGGUGUAUGUGUUUGACGUGUGUAGUGCAGUGUAUGUGUAUGGUGUGUGUGUGCAGUGUUUCUAUAUUGUAUGUAAGCAGUGGGUAUGUGCGUUGUGUGUGUGCGGUGAGUGUGUGCCAUGUGUGUUUUUAGUGUGUGUGGGUGCGGUGUAGGUUUUUGUAGAGUAUUGUGUAGUGUGUGUGUGUGUAGUGUAUGUCUAUAGUGUAUGUUUGUGGUGUAUUUGUGUGGUGUGUGUGUGUUUUGUGAAUGUAUGCGGUGUGUGUGUAUUUGCGGUGUGUGUGUUUGUAUUGUGUGUGUGCUGACCAUGUAUUAGUAGUGUAGGUGUGUGGUGUGUGUGUUUGACAUGGAUAGUGUAGUGUAUUUGCGUGGUGUGUGUGUGCAGUUGUUUCUGAAUUGUAUGUAUGCGGUGUUUGUGAGCGGUGUGUGUGUUCAGUGUGUGUCUGCGGGGUGUCUUUGUAGCAUGUUUGUGUGCUGUAGUGUGUCUGUUUGGUGUGUUUGCGUUUGCUGGAUGUGUGUAGUGUAUGUGUGUGGUGUGUGUGUGUGCAGUGUGUGUAGUGUAUUGUAUGUGUGUGGUGUGUGUGCGGUGUAUGUGUUUGUAGUGUAUGUGUGUGUUGUUUGCGUUUGGUGAGUUUGUGUUUACUGUAUGUGUGUGGAGUGUGUGUAGUUUAUGUUUGUUGUGUAUGUUUGUGGUGUAUGUGUGCAGUGUGUGUGUGUUUUGUCUGUAUGCGGUUUGUGUGUGAGGUAUGCGUGUUUGUAUUGUGUCUGUGUAGUCCAUGUACUGGUAGUGUAUGUUUGUGGUGUGUGUUUGACAUGUGUACUCUGGUGUACGUGUGUGCUGUGUGUUUGCAUUGUGAUUGUGAAUUGUAUGUAUGCGGUGUGUCUAUGUGGUGCAGUGUGUCUGGGGUGUGUGUGUUUGUAGUAUAUGUGUGUGCGGUGUAGGAUUUGUAGUGUAUUCUGUAGUGUGUGUGUUUGGUGUGUUUGUGGUUACUGUAUGUGUGUGGUGUGUGUGUUUGGUGUGUUUGUGUUUGCUGGAUGUGUGUGGUGUAUGUGUGGUGUGUGUGCGGUGUGUGUCUGCGGUGUGUGUAGUGUGGUGUAUGUGUGUGGUGUGUGUGCGGUGUAUGUGUUUGUAGUGUAUGUGUGUGUUGUUUGUGUUUGGUGAGUUUGUGAUUACUGUAUGUGUGUGAUAUUUGUGUAUAUGUUUGUUGUGUAUGUUUGUGGUGUAUGUGUGUGGUGUGUGUUGGGGGUGUAUGUGUGCAGUGUCUUUGUGGAGUGAAUGUAUGCGGUGUGGGUGUGCAGUAUGUGUGUGUGCGGUGUAGAUGUUUGUAGUGUGCGUGUGCAGUGUGUGUAGUGUGGUGUAUGUGUGUGGUGUGUGUGCGGUGUAUGUGUUUGUAGUGUAUAUAUGUGUUGUUUGUGUUUGGUGAGUUUGUGUUUACUGUAUGUGUGUGGUAUUUGUGUAGUGUAUGUUUGUUGUCUAUGUUUGUGGUGUAUGUGUGUGGUGUGUGUGUAUGACGUGUGUAGUAUAGUGUAUGUGUGUAGUGUGUGUGUGCAGUGUUCUUGUGUAUUGUAUGUAUGCGGUGUUUGUGUGCAGUGUGUGUGCGGUGUGUGUGAUUGUAGUAUGUGUGUGCACGGUGUAUGUGCUUGUACUGUAUGUGUGUCUUGUGUUUGGUGUGUUUGUUUUUAUUGUAUGUGUGUGGUGUGUGUGGUGUAUGUGUGGGGUGUAUGUGUGCAGUGUGUUUGUGGAGUGAAUGUAUGCGGUGUGGGUGUGCGGUAUGUGUGGGCGGUGUAGAUGUUAGUAGUGUGCAUGUGCGGUGUAUGUGUUUAUAGUGUAUGUGUGAGUUGUGUGUUUGGUGUGUUUGUCUCUAUGUGUGCUGUGUGUGUGUUUGGUGUGUGGGUUUGGUGUGUGUAAUAUAGUGUAUGUGUGUGGUGUGUAUGUGUGUAGUGUGUGUGGUGUAUGUGUGCAGUGCGUUUGUGUAGUUUCUGUAUGCUGUGUGUGUUUGAGGCUUGUGUGUGCGGUGUGUAUGUUUGUAGUGUGUUGUGCAUUGUAUAUGUGUAUAGUAUACGUGUGUAUGUAUGUAUGUAUGCGUUAAGUGUGUGUGCGAUGUGCGUGUUUGUAUUGUGUGUGUGUGUGUAGUCAAUGUAUCCGGUGUGUGUGUGGGGGUAUCUGUUUGUGGUGUGUAUAUUUGUACUGUGUGUGUGUGAUUUCUAUGUUUAUACUGUGUGUGGUAUGUGUGGUGUGUUUGGUUUUAUAGUAUGUGUGAGGGUGUGUAUGUGUGCUGUGUUUUUGCAGUGUAUGUGUUUGUUGUUGUAUGUGUGUUGUGUGUUAUUUGGUAUGUGUGUGUAAUGUGUGUGUGUUGUGUGUGUUUGGUGUGUGUAGUGUAAUGAAUAUGUGUGGUGUGUGUGGUGUAUGUGUUUGUAGUGUAUAUGUGUGUUGUGUGUGUUUGGUGAGUUUGAGUUUACUCUAUGUGUGUGAGGAGUGUCUUUUUGUAGUGUAUGUUUGUGGUGUAUGUGUGAGGUGUAUGUGUUUGUUGUAUGUGUGUGGUGUGUUAUUUGUUAUGUGUGUGUAGCGUGUGUGUUUUUUGUGUGUUUGGUGUGUUUGUCUCUAGGUGUGCUGUGUGUGUGUGUGGUGUGUGGGUUGGUGUGUGUAAUAUAGUGUAUGUGUGUGGUGUGUAUGUGUGUAGUGUGUGUGGUGUAUGUGUGCAGUGCGUUUGUGUAGAUUCUGUAUGCUGUGUGUGUUUGAGGCUUGUGUGUGCGGUGUGUAUGUUUGUAGUGUGUUGUGCGUUGUAUAUGUGACAUGUGCAGUGUAGUGUAUUUGCGUGGUGUGUGUGUGCAGUUGUUUCUGAAUUGUAUGUAUGCAGUGUUUGUGAGCGGUGUGUGUGUGCAGUGUGUGUCUGCGGGGUUUGUUUGUAGCAGGUUUGUGCGCUGUAGGAUUUUGUAUUGUAUGUGUGUAGUGUGUGUGUUUGGUGUGUUUGUGUUGGCUGGAUGUGUGUAGUGUAUGUGUGUGGUGUGUGUGUGCAGUGUGUGUGUGCGGUGUGUGUAGUGUAGUGUAUGUGUGUGGUGUGUGUGCCGUGUAUGUGUUUGUAGUGUAUGUGUGUGUUGUUUGCGUUUGGUGAGUUUGUGUUUACUGUAUGUGUGUGAUGUGUGUGUAGUGUAUGCUUGUUGUGUAUGUUUGUUGUGUAUGUGUGCGGUGUGUGUGUGUUUUGUAUGUAUGCGGUAUGUGUGUGAGGUAUGCGUGUUUGUAUUGUGUCUGUGCAGUCCAUGUGUUAGUAGUGUAUGCUUGUGUUGUGUGUGUUUCACAUGUGAACUGUAGUGUAUGCAUGUGCUGUGUGUGCAUUGUGAUUGUGAAUUGUAUGUAUGCGGUUUGUCUGUGCGGUGCAGUGUGUGUGGGGUGUGUGUGUUUGUAGUAUAUGUUUGUACGUUGUAGGUUUUUGUAGUGUAUGGGUGUAGUGUGUGUGUUUGGUGUGUUUGUGGUUACUGUAUGUGUAUGGUUUGUGUGUUUGGUUAGUUUGUGUUUACUGUAUGUGUGUGUAGUGUAUUUUUGUAGUGUAUGUUUGUUGUGUAUGUGUGCAGUGUGUGUGUGUAAUGUAUGUAUGCGUAGUGUUUGUUUGCGUUGUGCUUGUUUGUAUUGUAUUUGUGCAGUCAUGUGAUGGUAUUGUAUAUGUGGGGUGUGUGUGUUUGACGUGUCUCGUGUAGUGUAUAUGUAUGGUGUGUGUGUGCAGCAGUGUGUUUCUGUAUUGUAUGUAUGCGGUGUGUAUGUGCGGUGUGUGUGUGUGGUUUGUGUUUGCGAUGUGUGUUUUUAGUGUGUGUGUGUGUGCGGUGUACGUUUUUGUAAAGUAUGUGUGUAGUGUGUGUUUGUAGUGUAUGUUAGUGUGUAUUUGGGCGGUGUGUGUGUGAAGUGUGUUUUAGAAUUGUUAGUAGUGUAGGUGUGUGGUAUGUGUGUUUGACAUGUGCAGUGUAGUGUAUUUGCGUGGUGUGUGUGUUCAGUUGUUUCUGAAUUGUAUGUAUGCGGUGUUUGUUAGCGGUGUGUGUGUGCAGUGUGUGUCUGCGGGAUGUGUUUGUAGCAUGUUUGUGCGCUGUAGGUUUUUGUAUUGUAUGUGUGUAGUGUGUGUGUUUGGUGUGUUUGUGUUUGCUGGAUGUGUGUAGUGUAUGUGUGUGGUGUAUGUG